ACACAUCAAAAUCUCCUUUUACUUUGGGUCCUUUCAAAUCCAGGUCAACAUCAGGUAUGGAGAUCUUGGGAGCUUUGAUAUUUAUUUCAGGCAUCUUGAACUUGGGGCCCUUUAGUUUCGCAUCUGGACCUUCGAUAUUCACAUCAGGAACAUCAACGUCCACUUUGGGUCCUGAGACAUCAAUGUCAGCCUUGGGCAGGUUCACAUCCACAUCUGGGCCCUCUCCUUUGAAGCCAGGCAUGCUGAACUUGGGCAUUUUCACUUUGGGCAUUUUUAGGUGCCAGUCUGGGCCAUGAACAUCCACAUCUGGGGCAUCAAUGUCCACUUUGGGGCCCUUGAUGUCAACUUCAGGGGCCUUUAGAUCACCUUCCAUCU
rnacentral:lncRNA from 1 species